AUCACUGGGGGAUCUUGUUAAAAUACAGAUUCUGAUUCAGUAGGUCUAGGAUGAGGCUUGAGAUUCUGCAUUUCUAGCAAGCUCCCAGGUGAGCGCAU
rnacentral:pre_miRNA from 1 species